rnacentral:pre_miRNA from 1 species
UCUAGGAAGAGGAAGAAGAGAGGGUGUAGGAGUGAUGGGAAUGAGCGCAUAGAGGAAAACCUAACUGGUUAUUCACCUCUUGCCUUGAGGUGGCGAUUCAGUUUGGUAUUUCCCAAUGUUUCCCAUCUUAUCGUUUUUAGGUGCUCCUUCCUAUUCCUCUUUGUU